rnacentral:rRNA from 1 species
CGCUAGCUACAGGCUUAACACAUGCAAGUUGAGGGGCAGCAUGGUCUUAGCUUGCUAAGGCCGAUGGCGACCGGCGCACGGGUGAGUAACACGUAUCCAACCUGCCGUCUACUCUUGGACAGCCUUCUGAAAGGAAGAUUAAUACAAGAUGGCAUCAUGAGUCCACAUGUUCACAUGAUUAAAGGUAUUCCGGUAGACGAUGGGGAUGCGUUCCAUUAGAUAGUAGGCGGGGUAACGGCCCACCUAGUCUUCGAUGGAUAGGGGUUCUGAGAGGAAGGUCCCCCACAUUGGAACUGAGACACGGUCCAAACUCCUACGGGAGGCAGCAGUGAGGAAUAUUGGUCAAUGGGCGAGAGCCUGAACCAGCCAAGUAGCGUGAAGGAUGACUGCCCUAUGGGUUGUAAACUUCUUUUAUAAAGGAAUAAAGUCGGGUAUGCAUACCCGUUUGCAUGUACUUUAUGAAUAAGGAUCGGCUAACUCCGUGCCAGCAGCCGCGGUAAUACGGAGGAUCCGAGCGUUAUCCGGAUUUAUUGGGUUUAAAGGGAGCGUAGAUGGAUGUUUAAGUCAGUUGUGAAAGUUUGCGGCUCAACCGUAAAAUUGCAGUUGAUACUGGAUAUCUUGAGUGCAGUUGAGGCAGGCGGAAUUCGUGGUGUAGCGGUGAAAUGCUUAGAUAUCACGAAGAACUCCGAUUGCGAAGGCAGCCUGCUAAGCUGCAACUGACAUUGAGGCUCGAAAGUGUGGGUAUCAAACAGGAUUAGAUACCCUGGUAGUCCACACGGUAAACGAUGAAUACUCGCUGUUUGCGAUGUACAGCAAGCGGCCAAGCGAAAGCGUUAGGUAUUCCACCUGGGGAGUACGCCGGCAACGGUGAAACUCAAAGGAAUUGACGGGGGCCCGCACAAGCGGAGGAACAUGUGGUUUAAUUCGAUGAUACGCGAGGAACCUUACCCGGGCUUAAAUUGCAGAUGAAUUACGGUGAAAGCCGUAAGCCGCAAGGCAUCUGUGAAGGUGCUGCAUGGUUGUCGUCAGCUCGUGCCGUGAGGUGUCGGCUUAAGUGCCAUAACGAGCGCAACCCUUGUUGUCAGUUACUAACAGGUCAUGCUGAGGACUCUGACAAGACUGCCAUCGUAAGAUGUGAGGAAGGUGGGGAUGACGUCAAAUCAGCACGGCCCUUACGUCCGGGGCUACACACGUGUUACAAUGGGGGGUACAGAGGGCCGCUACCACGCGAGUGGAUGCCAAUCCCAAAAACCUCUCUCAGUUCGGACUGGAGUCUGCAACCCGACUCCACGAAGCUGGAUUCGCUAGUAAUCGCGCAUCAGCCACGGCGCGGUGAAUACGUUCCCGGGCCUUGUACACACCGCCCGUCAAGCCAUGGGAGCCGGGGGUACCUGAAGUGCGUAACCGCGAGGAGCGCCCUAGGGUAAAACUGGUGAC